rnacentral:rRNA from 1 species
AGAGUUUGAUCCUGGCUCAGGAUGAACGCUAGCUACAGGCUUAACACAUGCAAGUCGAGGGGCAGCAUGGUCUUAGCUUGCUAAGGCCGAUGGCGACCGGCGCACGGGUGAGUAACACGUAUCCAACCUGCCGUCUACUCUUGGACAGCCUUCUGAAAGGAAGAUUAAUACAAGAUGGCAUCAUGAGUCCGCAUGUUCACAUGAUUAAAGGUAUUCCGGUAGACGAUGGGGAUGCGUUCCAUUAGAUAGUAGGCGGGGUAACGGCCCACCUAGUCUUCGAUGGAUAGGGGUUCUGAGAGGAAGGUCCCCCACAUUGGAACUGAGACACGGUCCAAACUCCUACGGGAGGCAGCAGUGAGGAAUAUUGGUCAAUGGGCGAGAGCCUGAACCAGCCAAGUAGCGUGAAGGAUGACUGCCCUAUGGGUUGUAAACUUCUUUUAUAAAGGAAUAAAGUCGGGUAUGCAUACCCGUUUGCAUGUACUUUAUGAAUAAGGAUCGGCUAACUCCGUGCCAGCAGCCGCGGUAAUACGGAGGAUCCGAGCGUUAUCCGGAUUUAUUGGGUUUAAAGGGAGCGUAGAUGGAUGUUUAAGUCAGUUGUGAAAGUUUGCGGCUCAACCGUAAAAUUGCAGUUGAUACUGGAUAUCUUGAGUGCAGUUGAGGCAGGCGGAAUUCGUGGUGUAGCGGUGAAAUGCUUAGAUAUCACGAAGAACUCCGAUUGCGAAGGCAGCCUGCUAAGCUGCAACUGACAUUGAGGCUCGAAAGUGUGGGUAUCAAACAGGAUUAGAUACCCUGGUAGUCCACACGGUAAACGAUGAAUACUCGCUGUUUGCGAUAUACAGCAAGCGGCCAAGCGAAAGCGUUAAGUAUUCCACCUGGGGAGUACGCCGGCAACGGUGAAACUCAAAGGAAUUGACGGGGGCCCGCACAAGCGGAGGAACAUGUGGUUUAAUUCGAUGAUACGCGAGGAACCUUACCCGGGCUUAAAUUGCAGAUGAAUUACGGUGAAAGCCGUAAGCCGCAAGGCAUCUGUGAAGGUGCUGCAUGGUUGUCGUCAGCUCGUGCCGUGAGGUGUCGGCUUAAGUGCCAUAACGAGCGCAACCCUUGUUGUCAGUUACUAACAGGUUCUGCUGAGGACUCUGACAAGACUGCCAUCGUAAGAUGUGAGGAAGGUGGGGACGACGUCAAAUCAGCACGGCCCUUACGUCCGGCGCUACACACGUGUUACAAUGGGGGGUACAGAGGGCCGCUACCACGCGAGUGGAUGCCAAUCCCCAAAACCUCUCUCAGUUCGGACUGGAGUCUGCAACCCGACUCCACGAAGCUGGAUUCGCUAGUAAUCGCGCAUCAGCCACGGCGCGGUGAAUACGUUCCCGGGCCUUGUACACACCGCCCGUCAAGCCAUGGGAGCCGGGGGUACCUGAAGUGCGUAACCGCGAGGAGCGCCCUAGGGUAAAACUGGUGACUGGGGCUAAGUCGUAACAAGGUA